rnacentral:rRNA from 1 species
CUACGGGUCGCUCCAGUGGGGAAUAUUGCACAAUGGAGGAAACUCUGAUGCAGCAACGCCGCGUGGAGGAUGACACUUUUCGGAGCGUAAACCCCUUUUAUAUAGGAAGAAGAUGACGGUACUAUAUGAAUAAGCGCCGGCUAACUCCGUGCCAGCAGCCGCGGUAAUACGGAGGGCGCAAGCGUUACUCGGAAUCACUGGGCGUAAAGAGCGUGUAGGCGGAUUAAAAAGUCAGAAGUGAAAUCCUAUAGCUUAACUAUAGAACUGCUUCUGAAACUCUUAAUCUAGAAUAUGGGAGAGGUAGAUGGAAUUUCUGGUGUAGGGGUAAAAUCCGUAGAGAUCAGAAGGAAUACCGAUUGCGAAGGCGGUCUACUAGAACAUUAUUGACGCUGAGACGCGAAAGCGUGGGGAGCAAACAGGAUUAGAUACCCGAGUAGUC